UACGUAGGGCGCAAGCGUUGUCCGGAAUUAUUGGGCGUAAAGAGCUCGUAGGCGAUUUGUCGCGUCUGCUGUGAAAACCUAAGGCUCAACCUUGGGCUUGCAGUGGGUACGGGCAGACUAGAGUGCGGUAGGGGUGACUGGAAUUCCUGGUGUAGCGGUGGAAUGCGCAGAUAUCAGGAGGAACACCAAUGGCGAAGGCAGAUCUCUGGGCCGUAACUGACGCUGAGGAGCGAAAGCAUGGGGAGCGAACAGG
rnacentral:rRNA from 1 species